rnacentral:piRNA from 1 species
UGCCUCAAAUGGAGUGUCGCAGCCUG